rnacentral:tRNA from 1 species
GAGUGGCUCAGCGGUACAGUGCCGAGGUUCUCGUGAAGCUGGUCACCGGUUCGAUCCCGGCGUCAGCUCCA